rnacentral:rRNA from 1 species
UACGUAGGGCGCAAGCGUUGUCCGGAAUUAUUGGGCGUAAAGAGCUCGUAGGCGGUCUGUCACGUCGGCUGUGAAAACCCGAGGCUCAACCUCGGGCCUGCAGUCGAUACGGGCAAACUAGAGUACUGCAGGGGAGACUGGAAUUCCUGGUGUAGCGGUGAAAUGCGCAGAUAUCAGGAGGAACACCGGUGGCGAAGGCGGGUCUCUGGGCAGUAACUGACGCUGGAGGAGCGAAAGCCGUGGGGAGCGAACAGG